UUUCCUUUUUUGUAGAAAAAUAAUGCCGCCUAGAUGCCUAGCAGUGUUGAUAGCAAUCAGGUUGUAGACCUUUAUCCUAUAUAUGCAUUGACAGAUGCAGGGCUCAAAGGAGAAUAUAUAUUCCUUACAACAACAAAACAAGGAAACUUGCAAAAGCUAUGCCAUGAAAAUAUGCCUCCAUAAGAACUUUAUGGCAUUGGGUUUGGAUUACAAAACUGAUAAUUCUGCCCCCAUUUUUAAAUG